ACCCCAGUAUGAUUAUUUUGAAAGGGGGGGAAAUGACAAAAACAUAUAGGCUACAAUAGCCGUUGGGAUCAAUACAAGGUUGCACGAGGACUUCUCUCGCGCUCUCUGUGCAUGCAAAUAACCGUUAGAGCUCUUGGCCCGUGACAGUGCGCCUGUGAUGCCCUUAAUUUGGCAUCCUAUUCAUUCUAACUGCGGCUUUCUCUCCGCCAUAUCAAGAAAUAUCGACCAAAGACGAGAUGGAGGAAAUUAAUAACGGGGGAAACGCAGCCUCAGCGAGCCCAACUCCUUUUUUAUGACCCGCCGGCAAGAUAAACCGGCGCACGGCAUCCAGUGACGACGUCCACGAGAAGGUGAAGAUGAACCGGCCUUUCUGAUCAAAGCACCCGUCUACUAUAAAGCUCAAGGCUGGCCUUCCUAGGCGGUGAAUCACAGCCGCUGAGCUGCCCACUGGACUGGACUUCUGGCCACACCCCCAACAGUCAUGUCAGAGCAGGAGUUUCCCAUCACCUGAUAAAGGCCUCACCAUUCACUCCCCUCUGAAAACCUGCACCGGCCAGAUUGAUGGGAGGAUGGCUCUCAUUUGGAACAGGAGAAAAGUGGCCAGUUUAAGGGCUGCAACUGUAUUUUAAAAGCCACGGGUGUUAAAGAGACUGAUGAGCUUGGUGGCAGUGGUGACCCUCCCUCCUGGCUCGCUGCAAAACCCCAUUGGGAGAAUGAGAAGAGACGAGGGAAAAGGGAGGAGGGGGAAUAAAUCUGCGUGGCGGCAGGAAUCGAUCGUUUCUCCCUCCUUCCUGCGCUAUCUCAUCUGCAGGGGCUGAGAGAGGCAGAGCGGUUUAAACGAUCCUGACCUUGUCCGACAUAAAUAGUCAGAAAAGUCCACGGAGCAGAUAGCUUUGUGUAAUGCUGGGGUGAGGCGGGAGGGUGGAGGAGGAGAAAAGACGGAGGGAACGCAUUGAGAUAAGAAGGGGGGUUGAAUGAGAUAAUGCCCUGGCGUUACUACAUCAGAGUCCGUGUCGCUCACACGCACAGACGUCGCCGUGGGAAACAGCCUCGGCCUUGCUUCCUGUCUUCCCUCCUUUUUUGCUAUCUCUCCCUCUUUUUCCCCUCUGAUCAGAAAAAGAAGGGAGUUGAGAGUGAAGGAGGUUGGAGGAGUGGAAAGUCUUUCCCCCUCAAAGCUCUCAUCUUUCUUUCUGUGACUACCUGAAAGAUGGAUGGAGGAAGUCAAUUGGCUCCUAUGAACACCCAUUCUGCACUCCUGAGGAAGACGUGAGUGUUUUAAAGUAAGAAAGGAGCUCUUUUGUGCGGCGCCCCUCUUCUUUUCUUUUGAGUGUAAUGCUGCUGUACCUGACAGUGGCGCUGCCCCGGGUAAAGCCAGAAAUCUCUGCCUCCAUUGUCACCUGUUCCUCUAAUCAUUUUCCGCCCUUCAUGCCACAAUGGAGGAGGGCGAUAACGAUAACGAGGUGAAGCUAAUACAGAGCAGCAGCGGGGCCCCGAACACAAUGUUCAGAUGUCUUCACUCGUUCGCACACACACACACACACACACACCCCAUUAUACACUUCCGCAAUGCAGAAACACACACACACACACACACACACACACUUAGUCUUUUUUCUUCAGUCACUCAGGCGCAGAUGUUUGAGGCAUUUCAUUAUAGUGCAAACUGUCAAAUUACCUUCGCAUUACACAGUUACACACUUUCAUAAAACGCAAUAAACACAAGAAUAACAGUGUAUCAAGCUUUUUCUCUGCUUUCUUAAAAGUAGUCUAGUUAGUGGCUUCUAACUGGCUGCUGGUUUGAAUCCCAGUAUCGGGUAGAAAAAUAUCUGAGUGGAAGCAAAUGAGCCCAUUACUCCUUUUUUAUUUUCCAAGUUUUGGCCAUCAUUCAAUGGCUUAUGAUCACAUUGUACACACAAAGUGAGAUGCAGAGAUCUGGGGACACACGUUGAAAGACAGACAGGUUUGAAAAAAAGUUAAACUCAUACCCAAACUGUCCGUCGUAAACAUCAUCACAGUUUAAAGACCAGACCAAUUGUGUGCACAGUUUUCCUGUACAAUGACAUGUUUCUUGCCCUAUUGGACUUGUCACCAUGUUCUCAGCUCUCUCUUCAGGGCAGGAGUUCCCAGCCUUCUUCACUCUGCACACUAUUUUUAUAUUGACAAAUAUGUAGUGCCAGUGGCAAGGAGGGACACGACUGAAGUAAUAAAAGUCAAAUGUUGUAUAUUACGACACACACAUUAGGGCUUUUAUCUCCUCUGAAGAAACUGUCAAACCCUCAAAAGUUUUAGCUUUUUACUCGUUUAAACUCAUGUAGCUAGUAAUAAUGCGCUUGUUCAAAAUCAGUACAUUGUUGUUGUGGGUACGACAGGGAGUGAUAGAGAAAGACGCAGCUGAGAGACCACGCCAAGUCCAAGGUAAUUACUACACACAUUGUGCAUCAAGUUAUACAAUAAGUUUUUUGCCAAAUCAUAUUGAUCAACACGUUCUCACUCCCAAGUCGUCACAUAUGGACGCAUGGUCAUCAGUCGCAUUGGGAAUCCCUUUAGCAUCAUUGCUGAACGCUAAAAGUAGGUGAAGUAUAUAAAAAACAGAAACCAGAAUUUUACCCAGGACACUAGUGUUCAUUUCCUGCAGUAAACAAAAAUACAACAUUGAUUCUUUUUUAGUUAUGCAACUUAACAUACUUAUUUUAACCCUAACCAUGAUUUUUUCCUAAAUCUGACCAAGUAGUUUUGGUGCUUAAACCCAACCAAAUUGUGACUUUUUGCAACGUUAACCAGUACUUUGUCUAACCGGAUGUUGAAUAUUUGUUAUUGAUAACUUGACUGCGGAGCCUUACAUGCAAAGAAAAAUGUUAUGGGUACCCAGGGCGUAAACAAGCGACACCAAGAGGUCUUGACUAAGCAUCUAUACGUGACAAGCUGGAAGUGAGAAUGUGUUGUUUGUUUGUUUCUUUGCGGGCUAGAAGGCAAUAUUUCGAGACCUGGUACCGGUCCACAGCCCAGGGGUUGGGAACCCAUGCUUUAGCGUGUGCAUUUAUCACAACUGACAAUGGCCAAAAUGAGCUGUUUGCUUGCACAGCCUCAUACCUAGAAUUUUAUAUUAACAGGCCCGCAAUUAAAGGACUAAAUUUACUGUUUUCCUUGCAAGCAUCAACACAGAGAAGAAAAUCACUGCUACUGAGAUAACUUUCCAGACUUUGUACUAUGUUGCCACAAAAAAUAAACCACUGUGCACCAUCUCUGCGUCUGAUAAGCCGUUUAACUGGACUUCCUGGUACCUAUUUCUUCUUUUCACCGGGACCCUGCACCAACAAAAACAUUAAAAACGACAGAAAGAAACAGACGAUCUGCUCUCAGCUUCCACAAUCCAUCCAUUUUGGACCUAGGCUCUGCAGAAUUCCCAAAAUGACAAAGCCCCCUCCUCCUCACCCACAUCCAUGUGAUGUUGAAUUGCUGGGCCUCGCCAGCAAGGUGGAGAUGAGAAGGCUGCUGCUCUCCGACUGUGUUUAUCAGAGUCUGGCAUCGCUGUAAUUUCAGUGUUCAGAUGCAAUCGCUCCCCACUCCCCUCAGGAGCAAACAAUAACAAGCACAAAUACAAUAGACAAACAAGGCCUGCAGGACAUGUAUGCACAAACACACAUAUCUAUAUGCACACACAGGCAUGCACAAAAGCAUACACUUCGGACGCACAAACAACAAUGAACCCACAAACACCUUCGGUUUUGUUUUCUGCCUUUAUUUGGCAGUAGCUGGUGCCAGAAACCUAAACAUCAAAUGUUUGCAUUAUUAUGAGAAACCACAAGAUCUAUCUAAAAAGGCUGCACUCAGAUCAGAUACUGAAUCUGAAUAUUGUGGCUAAAUUGACCAGAACUAAACCCUUUGUGUGACAUAAAACCAGAAUAAUGUGUUAUUUUGCUAUUACACUCUGUGGGCCAUUGUGAUUUCAGUUUUGUUUAAUAAGACUUAAAAGAGCCCACAUUUCUUAUCAGACAGCGCAGCCUGGUGGACACUUGGGGAACUGCAAACCCCUGCCUUCAACUGGAGAGUGCAAUGCUUCUGUUAGAUGAAGCUACAAAUGAUUUAAAAAAUAGUUGAUUUAUUUGAUUGGAAAUUCUACUCCUUUGCAAUUUGCACAAGAGGGUCAGAGGUCAUGGUCAACUGCCUUCUGUUUUUCUGGUCUUUAAGGACUUGGGGGCCAUGCAUAAGGAUGCUUCAGUGUGAUGGAUGCUUUGUUUUUAGGACCCACAGUUGUUCACAACAUUUGCUGAAUAAAUGCCAACAAAGCGAAUCACACGGCAAAGGAAGUCGAUCUGAUUACUCAGUGGUUGCUUCAAAGUUUGGACUUUGCGCCACGCAGAGCAACCAGAAAAAAAAUCACUUCUAAUAUUUAUGAAAUUUGCGGGACCACAAAAAAUUCAAAUCAGGAUUAAAAUAUUGUUUUAAAAAGUCCAUAUGAGAACAUUUUAAGUAGAAUCUUGAUAAUUCUGACUUCAGUCUGUUUUCUGAUUGGAAUCUUAGAAACAGGUAGGAAAAAAUAUCAGUCUUGAUUAUGGAGGAACUUUAUUAUACUAUCUGAACUCAUCUCUUUUCAAAUGUUUGUCGACCCAAGUUUACUGCUGUUUCUAAUUCAACAGCUUCAAUGGUGUUAAUUUAAA